GGUCUCAUUCGGUUGAUGAUCGUACCCUCCUCAUAGAAGAGCUAGAGGAGGGCUUCAGAUUUUCGUCCACCAUCGAAGAUGACCUUGAUCGUGCAACUGAGACGAGGACACGGGAUCUAUGGUAAUGGGUCAUUGACCCCACCAUCGGCACCAUGAGUGAAAAACAGACGACAGCCCGAAGCACAAUGCUGCUUCCGAAAUCGACCAACAGUCGGACCCGAGAAUGAGAGAACUUCCGAUCCGAUAGGGAGUCGUUGGCUGAAAUUUCCGACCAAACAUCCCCUGCAGAAAUCUUGCCCAUCGAAAGAACUAUCAAAGAUUCAAGGAAACUUAAAAAAGAAAACAACAAGGAAUGUUUUCGCACGAGAGCAGCUCUCUGAUAGAGCUUCCAUGCUAGAAGAGACAAUAGCAAGGUAAAUACCUAGCUGACAGCGGUCCUUUAUAUAGAGGAACACCCAAUGACCCAGAUGAAAGUGGUC
rnacentral:lncRNA from 1 species